rnacentral:rRNA from 1 species
AGCGAACGCUGGCGGCAGGCUUAACACAUGCAAGUCGAACGGGCGUAGCAAUACGUCAGUGGCAGACGGGUGAGUAACGCGUGGGAACGUACCUUUUGGUUCGGAACAACCCAGGGAAACUUGGGCUAAUACCGGAUAAGCCCUUACGGGGAAAGAUUUAUCGCCGAAAGAUCGGCCCGCGUCUGAUUAGCUAGUUGGUGUGGUAACGGCGCACCAAGGCGACGAUCAGUAGCUGGUCUGAGAGGAUGAUCAGCCACAUUGGGACUGAGACACGGCCCAAACUCCUACGGGAGGCAGCAGUGGGGAAUAUUGGACAAUGGGCGCAAGCCUGAUCCAGCCAUGCCGCGUGAGUGAUGAAGGCCCUAGGGUUGUAAAGCUCUUUUGUGCGGGAAGAUAAUGACGGUACCGCAAGAAUAAGCCCCGGCUAACUUCGUGCCAGCCGCCGCAGUAAC